rnacentral:lncRNA from 1 species
AACAUUAGUAUGAUCACCUGUUGCCUGCUAUGCACACACCACUGUACUGGCUCUGCUGAGACUCUGGUUUCAUGGAGAAGUUCCAUUCAGAGCUGGAUCCUGCAUCUUUUUAGCCAGAUAUGAGAAUUCAAAGACAGGUAUAGAGCUUUACCUGCUUGAUUGCUUACCCUUCUAUGCAUGUGUUUCCCCACAGUGCCGCUAAAAUUUUAC